rnacentral:rRNA from 1 species
UACGUAGGGUGCAAGCGUUAAUCGGAAUUACUGGGCGUAAAGCGUGCGCAGGCGGCUAUGCAAGACAGAUGUGAAAUCCCCGGGCUCAACCUGGGAACUGCAUUUGUGACUGCAUGGCUAGAGUACGGCAGAGGGGGAUGGAAUUCCGCGUGUAGCAGUGAAAUGCGUAGAUAUGCGGAGGAACACUGAUGGCGAAGGCAAUCCCCUGGGCCUGUACUGACGCUCAUGCACGAAAGCGUGGGGAGCAAACAGG